ACGAUGAUGAUGAUGAUAAACUUUAAUGAUCCAACCGGUGACGAGCAGCUAAACCAACAUGACUGAAUCAAUGAAUCUAAUCAACAACGAGCAAUGGAGAUGGGCUGCGAUUCGCGAUGAAUCCAACCGGUGACAAGCUACUCAACCGACUAGUGGGUGAUGCGUAAGAAGAAGAGAAGAGAGAGGAGCCAAGUGGUGAAACCACGAGGUGGUCGUCCGGUGUCGAGCAACAAAGAUUGCAAUCAACGAUGAGCUACUCAACCAAUAAAGAUGCUGCAGCCAUUCGUUUCUAGGUAAGAAAAACAAGAUGGGUUAUUCGACUACUAGGUCAAAGAUUUUGUUUUUUCCUUCUUUUUUUUUUUCAAUUUAUAUUUUUAAUUGCAAAGAGAAUAUUUUGGAAAAAUAGAAAAAACAAUCGCCAUAGUUUUGUCUUUAGGGGGAAUGGGAUACCCCCAAACUGGAAUGAGAAUCCCAUUAAUCAAUCCUUAUUUUAUGUGGAUCCCGUGCACCUUCUUCCAUUCCCACACUCAAUUAAACAAGUAAACAAUUUCUUUAUUCUGAUUCCCGUUACUGUCUAGUAAACACUCCCAAUAGUCUAAAAGUCUAAAAGAACAGCGUGAAGUAUUCUAUUCUCUAGAUUAUAGAUGAUACAUCCCCAAAAUCGAUCCUUCUUACCAAUAUACUUACAACCCCGUAGUGUAAGAAUCUAAAAAGAUACAGAGACCGAGGGGGAAAAAAAGAAAGAAAAAAUGAAAAACAAAGUUUCUUAGGUACACACUCCACUCGGAAAAAUUAUUUAAAAAAAAAAAAUCAAAAACUCGAACGAGAGAAGGAAUCAAAACAGAUCAAAGAACAUUAGUACGCCCUAAAACCAAAUUGCUCACGCCUCACGAUCUAGAAUGAAACUCUCCAGUCUCCACACUUUAGAAGAACAAAUACAAAUGUUUAGAACACCCAUGCAGCCCAUUCAAGUUUCAACCAUUUCCUGGGCAGAGCAGCAGUAACAGCUUUAACAGAUACAGCUCCCUGGUCUGAGCUGACUCAAAGAAACCUCUCUUCAGCUCACCACUGUUAUCUUUUCAGACCUGAGCCAUCUGCUGCUUCAGUGCCUGCAGGGACUUGAUUUUGGAUUCACAAAUCCGAAGAAAUGCAGAGAGUCCUGCACGCUGCCCAGCUACAAAUUUCCUUGCAACAUCAACAGGACUCCAAGAUUUCAUAGCUUGAGAUAUCCGAUCACCAAGUUCUGCCUCAUUCAAGGAUGAGAUCAGUGUUCCAAGAAGCCGGAACACCUGCCCAGGACCGUCACCCCUGUCAUUUGCCUCAAGAGAGGAGAAUAUAGCAUCUAACUUUUCAUCCUCUGACUUCUUGAUAUGAUGCCCUAACCACUUUGCUACCUCUUCCACUACGCCACUUGUAGAUUGAACAGAGCCCCGAAUAUCAUGAGACAGUGGAGAGGUAGAAUGAUCUGCAGAUCCACUUUUCUUCUUCUUCUUUCCAGAUGGAAGAGAUGAUCGGACACAAGAUUGCAUUACAAGUGUAUGCCAAGCCAACGGUUC
rnacentral:lncRNA from 1 species